rnacentral:lncRNA from 1 species
AAGGACAUUGAUGUAUCUUCACAGUCAAGGUCUAGCAAGAUAAGAGAUAUUGCAAAGCUGUAGAUCUCUGGACGUGUGAAAGGCAUAUCUUUGCAAUGAUGGGGAAAGCUGUGCAGAUCGACAGGUAUAAGGUUCAUAGGAGCUUAUGGAACUGCAGCUUACUGGUCUUCCUACUUACCAUGCAAAUGACUUCAUCUGUUCUCUUGGAAUUCCUCUCCACAUUUUGCUAUGUUAUAGGGAAAAUGUACAGCUUCUCUCCAGUUCUCUAUGUGACAUAUCUCUACAGUGAAGUAAAAAUGAACAGCUUUUUCAAAUGGGAAUCAGAACUGAAGAAUGAAAGAAGCAUAUUUUCUCCCCAGAGACAGAAUGAAUCUUAUCUCCAGCAGUUUGCAUUUGACAGUUGUGCACUCCUUAUUGGAAGUUACAAGCUCUACAAUUCCAUUCCUACACUUGGUGUUCAGUUGGUAUGUUAUUUUGGGCAGACCUUUCUAGCUGGUUUGUCCUCAGAAAACGGUUCACUCUGGCAUCUGCAAAUAGUUACCAAUGCUAAAACAUAUUUUGCAGUAAGAUGGAGUUUUAGAGAGCUGACAGUUUUUUAGCCUUAUAGACCUUUACCUGCAUCUUAUUUAGCACAACAUUUUAUGGCCUAACAUGUUACUGACAUCAAUGAUUUAGUCAUCGUGAUCCUCAGAAAAGAUGUACAAUUCUGAGUGUCUUUUCCACAUUCAAUAUAUUUUAAGUGAAUCAGUUUUUUCCAUUUAUUCUAAACAUUCUGUAUAACGUGGAGAAGCAAAUAUGUUCAUUUAGGUUUGAACUAAAGCUGGUGUAGAGUUGACCCUCUAAAGAAGGGUGAGCUUUUUGAGAGUUCUGGUGCUUACAGCUACCUUUCAAGGAAAUAAAUAAGUGCUGGUGUUCA